CACUGUGUUUUAUCAAGUCCAAUACUGACUUUGACUGGUUAGUACUUGGAUGGGAGACAGCAUGGGAAUACCUGGUACUAUAAUGU
rnacentral:rRNA from 1 species